GAUGAACGCUGGCGGCGUGCCUAACACAUGCAAGUCGAGCGAUUCACUUCGGUGAAGAGCGGCGGACGGAUGAGUAACGCGUGGGUAACCUGCCUCAUACACAUGGAUAACAUACCGAAAGGUAUGCUAAUAAAAGAUGAUAUAAGAACUUCGCAUGGUUUUCUUAUCAAAGCUCCGGCGGUAUGAGAUGGACCCGCGUCUGAUUAGCUAGUUGGUAAGGUAACGGCUUACAAAGGCGACGAUCAGUAGCCAACCUGAGAGGGUGAUCGGCCACAUUGGAACUGAGACACGGGCCAAACUCCUACGGGAGGCAGCAGUGGGGAAUAUUGCACAAUGGGCGAAAGCCUGAUGCAGCAACGCCGCGUGAGCGAUGAAGGCCUUCGGGUCGUAAAGCUCUGUCCUCAAGGAAGAUAAUGACGGUACUUGAGGAGGAAGCCCCGGCUAACUACGUGCCAGCCGCCGCCGUAAGAC
rnacentral:rRNA from 1 species